rnacentral:rRNA from 1 species
ACUAGCAGUAAGAGUUUGAUCCUGGCUCAGAACGAACGCUGGCGGCAGGCUUAACACAUGCAAGUCGAACGCUGUAGCAAUACAGAGUGGCGCACGGGUGAGUAAUACAUGGGAACGUGCCUUUUAGUGGGGAAUAGCUCCGGGAAACUGGGAUUAAUACCGCAUACGCCCUUCGGGGGAAAGACUUCGGUCGCUAAAAGAUCGGCCCAUGCCAGAUUAGCUAGUUGGUGGGGUAAUGGCCUACCAAGGCAACGAUCUGUAGCUGGUCUGAGAGGACGACCAGCCACACUGGAACUGAGACACGGUCCAGACUCCUACGGGAGGCAGCAGUGGGGAAUAUUGGACAAUGGGGGAAACCCUGAUCCAGCGACGCCGCGUGGGUGAUGAAGGCCUUCGGGUCGUAAAGCCCUGUCUGGGGGGACGAAUCCCCUGCCGGUGAACAACCGGCAGGAAUGACGGUACCCCCGAAGGAAGCACCGGCUAACUCUGUGCCAGCCGCCGCGGUAAUUC